GCCUGGGGUAGCUCAGCCAGUAGAGCAUGAGACUCUAAACCUCAGGGUCGUGGGUUUGAGCCCCACGUUGGGCA